GUGAAGUCUCGUACAGGUCCAGAUGAGUAUCUGCGUAAUGCAUUGUGGCACACUGGUGACACACAUGGAGAGGUGACCCUGCUCUGGAAGGAUCCGAGGAAUGUGGGAUGGCGUGAUAAAACAUCGUACCGCUGGAGCCUCAGCCAUCAGCCACAGGUCGGCUACAUCAGAGUGCGUCUGUAUGAAGGCGCUGCUCUGGUUGCGGACUCCGGUGUGGUGAUUGACACCUCGAUGAAAGGAGGACGUCUGGGUGUUUUUCUGCUUCUCACAGGAGAACAUUAUCUGGUCCAAUCUGAACUAUCGAUGUAACGAUACAAUCCCAGAUGAUUUUUACCUCCAUCACAAACAGAUGAACCUCAGGACGGGAGCAUAGAUGAGCGUCCAUGUCUUUAAUCACUGCAUCAUGCAACCUCAAGAUACCACAGUCUGCAGUGUGUGUGCGUGCGUGCUAGUGCUGUAUGUGAGCUCAUGUCUCUGUGUCUGGAUAGUGUUUUAUUUCCCCCUUAAUCUUAUGAUUGCUGAUUAACUCAGUGUCUGUAUUAAACUCAGUAUUUAGUCCAGAGAGUCUCACACUGAGGACAGCUAGUAUGCAGAUGUGACAUAAUUAAUGCUACAGAGUGAAAGCUUCUGUUACAAACACGU